GUGAAUCAUCAAAUCUUUGAACGCAAAUUGCACUCUCUGGUAUUCCGGAGAGUAUGCCUGUUUCAGGGUCAGAAUAAAUAACAAUCGGUGUGUUUGCUGCUUUUCGUGGUCACGCACUGGAUCUGGUUCGUCUUGUCUUCGGUUAAGUGAUUUAAAAUUUUGCAUGAUUUUUUUCGAAGGUAUUGAAAUGAUUUUAUGUCCGUUUGAGAUAUCGAAUACUAGGUGAGGCGAUCCUCAUG
rnacentral:misc_RNA from 1 species